ensembl:lncRNA
UGGGUCUCGGGAGGAUAGGCAAACAAUGACCAACUUCUUAUUUAAACAAGAUUAUAUAACUGGAAUAUUGCCAUAGUGAUGAUAGUUUAUGAAGUCAUAUGGGCGUGGAUGUCCCACCCCUUUUUGCUCUUUUUAAAACACAGCCUUAUCUGCUGGUGGCAUAUUUUGGAACACCAGAUCAUCCAGACUUAACUUGGAAACACAGUGAGUUUGCAUUCCAAAAUUAUUGGGAUUAUUCCCCAGUUACAUUUUUGCUAUUAUGCUAGGAUGCACUAUAAAUGUUCACUUCUUUGGACUACCAUUGAUUCUGACAAAUUUCCUGAUGCACAUGCAAUUAAUCAUGAUUUCUCCAGUGGUUAAUAUUUCGAAAUUCUGAAACAUAUCCUUUUUAAAGCAUUAUAACGCAUGCAUUAAAGCAUUAGUGUAGCAUUUAACCAACCAUUAUGAUACAUAUAUGUCAUGCUAAUUUGUUUAUUUACUUGUUUUGUUGGACAGUCCAUGAUGAAGAAGGCAGUGCUCGUGUGUUUUGCCCUGAUUGUGGUCAUUUCCGUGACCAAUGCCGCUGAAUGCAUAAGACAGAAGCAGAGCUUGGUGGCUUGUUAUGAUGCUGUAGAUAAGAAAACGUACGCAAAGGGAGUGAGAUGGGUUAACAGCGCAUGCCAGUUUUGCAAAUGCGACUUUGGAACUUCCGUCUGCUGUCCAGGAAUACGAGAUGGAUCCGGACAGUGCCAGCGUGUGAGCUGAGCGUGCCAGCAUGAGAAAAUGAAUCUGGAGAAUUACAGUGACAGAUCGGAGUCACUGUGUGGAUAAAUUUCGAUUAAUCAAUUAACAAUAAAGCAUUACUGAAGCAUUCAAUUUGUCUGUUUGUUUGUUCAUUUGUAAACGUGACUAAACACGUGGAAAAGAAAGUGUUCACGGGGCAGCAACCACCUAGAAUUUAUUAAGAAAAUGAAGGAAAAAGCUAAGGAUAUGACGGGAAAAGAAAGACAAUCAUGAAAAGGACAACAUUCUACAGCAAGUAAGAGAGCGGAAAUAAAGAAAUAUGAACAGAAUAAACUAAGUCAAUAAUUUGGAUGAACCCUUUUUCUUCCCUCAAUAUGGCACCGUAUCUCGUGGGAUGCGCACACUGUAAAUG